ensembl:lncRNA
CUAGAUAUUGUAGCGGGCUAGCAGCAAAGUGUAGGUAAGAAAGUGUAGUGUAAGUCUAGCAUAGAAUUUUAAAGGAAAUAUAAAUGACAACUAAUAUCGCCGCUAGGACAGUCUAUAUUUGGACCUCGUAGGUGUGUGUGCUCUUGUCCCUGUCAGGAAGGUGUGGCCAAUAGCCAGUCCAUGUGGAGCAGGCACAGAGAAGAGGACAACCAGAACUAACUGAGACAGACUCCCAGUCCCUGCCCCUGCAUUGCAUAAUGCUCCCACCACCACGCUUCACUGUCUCGAUGACAUAAACCAGGUGAUGGGCAGCACCGUGUUUCGGCCAGACAUAGCGCUUGGCAUUUAUGCCAAAUAGUUUGACUUUUGUCUCACCAGACUAGAGACUCUUUUUUUCCAUGAUCUCAGAGUCCUUCAGGUGGAAUGUUAUGUGUCUUUUACUCAGGAGUGGCAUCCGUCUAACCAUUCUACCAAGCAGGCCUUUCUGACAGGUUCUCUGUUAGAGUGGCCAUUGGGUUCUUGGUCAACUCCCCGACCAAUGCCCUUCUUGCCCGCU